GUCGAGAAUCUUCCGCAAUGGGCGAAAGCCUGACGGAGCGACGCCGCGUGGAGGAUGAAGGCCUUCGGGUUGUAAACUCCUGUCACGGAUUAUGAAUGGCGCCAUGUUAACACCGUGGCGCUUGACAAAGGUUCGAGAGGAAGCCACGGCUAACUCCGUGCCAGCAGCCGCGGUAAGACGGAGGUGGCAAGCGUUGCUCGGAAUCACUGGGCAUAAAGGGCGCCUAGGCGGUGUGGCAAGUCGACUGUGAAAUCCCUCGGCUCAACCGAGGAAGUGCAGCCGAAACUGCCGCGCUGGAGGACGAGAGGGGAGAGUGGAACUCCUGGUGGAGCGGUGAAAUGCGUAGAUAUCAGGAGGAACGCCGGUGGCGAAAGCGACUCUCUGGCUCGUUCCUGACGCUGACGCGCGAAAGCUAGGGGAGCGAACGGGAUUAGAAACCCGGGUAGUCC
rnacentral:rRNA from 1 species